rnacentral:rRNA from 1 species
AUUGAACGCUGGCGGCAUGCUUUACACAUGCAAGUCGAACGGCAGCGCGGGCUUCGGCCUGGCGGCGAGUGGCGAACGGGUGAGUAAUGCAUCGGAACGUGCCCAGUAGUGGGGGAUAGCCCGGCGAAAGCCGGAUUAAUACCGCAUACGCCCUGAGGGUGAAAGCGGGGGACCGAAAGGCCUCGCGCUAUUGGAGCGGCCGAUGUCGGAUUAGCUAGUUGGUGGGGUAAAGGCUUACCAAGGCGACGAUCCGUAGCUGGUCUGAGAGGACGACCAGCCACACUGGGACUGAGACACGGCCCAGACUCCUACGGGAGGCAGCAGUGGGGAAUUUUGGACAAUGGGGGCAACCCUGAUCCAGCCAUGCCGCGUGCGGGAAGAAGGCCUUCGGGUUGUAAACCGCUUUUGUUCGGGAAGAAAUCCUCUGGGCUAAUACCCCGGGGGGAUGACGGUACCGGAAGAAUAAGCACCGGCUAACUACGUG